AUUGAACGCUGGCGGCAUGCCUUACACAUGCAAGUCGAACGGCAGCACGGGUGCUUGCACCUGGUGGCGAGUGGCGAACGGGUGAGUAAUACAUCGGAACAUGUCCUGUAGUGGGGGAUAGCCCGGCGAAAGCCGGAUUAAUACCGCAUACGAUCCACGGAUGAAAGCGGGGGACCUUCGGGCCUCGCGCUAUCGGGUUGGCCGAUGGCUGAUUAGCUAGUUGGUGGGGUAAAGGCCUACCAAGGCGACGAUCAGUAGCUGGUCUGAGAGGACGACCAGCCACACUGGGACUGAGACACGGCCCAGACUCCUACGGGAGGCAGCAGUGGGGAAUUUUGGACAAAGGGCGAAAGCCUGAUCCAGCAAUGCCGCGUGUGUGAAGAAGGCCUUCGGGUUGUAAAGCACUUUUGUCCGGAAAGAAAUCCUUGACUCUAAUACAGUCGGGGGAUGACGGUACCGGAAGAAUAAGCACCGGCUAACUACGUG
rnacentral:rRNA from 1 species